AGAGUUUGAUCCUGGCUCAGGACGAACGCUGGCGGCGUGCUUAACACAUGCAAGUCGAACGGAAAGGCCCCUUCGGGGGUACUCGAGUGGCGAACGGGUGAGUAACACGUGGGUGAUCUGCCCUGCACUUUGGGAUAAGCCUGGGAAACUGGGUCUAAUACCGAAUAGGACCGCAUGCUUCAUGGUGUGUGGUGGAAAGCUUUUGCGGUGUGGGAUGGGCCCGCGGCCUAUCAGCUUGUUGGUGGGGUAAUGGCCUACCAGGGCGACGACGGGUAGCCGGCCUGAGAGGGUGUCCGGCCACACUGGGACUGAGAUACGGCCCAGACUCCUACGGGAGGCAGCAGUGGGGAAUAUUGCACAAUGGGCGCAAGCCUGAUGCAGCGACGCCGCGUGGGGGAUGACGGCCUUCGGGUUGUAAACCUCUUUCAGUAUCGGCGAAGCUCCAGGAUUUUUCUUGGGGUGACGGUAGGUACAGAAGAAGCACCGGCCAACUACGUGCCAGCAGCCGCGGUAAUACGUAGGGUGCGAGCGUUGUCCGGAAUUACUGGGCGUAAAGAGCUCGUAGGUGGUUUAUCACGUUGUCCGUGAAAACUCACAGCUUAACUGUGGGCGUGCGGGCGAUACGGGCAGACUGGAGUACUGUAGGGGAGACUGGAAUUCCUGGUGUAGCGGUGGAAUGCGCAGAUAUCAGGAGGAACACCGGUGGCGAAGGCGGGUCUCUGGGCAGUAACUGACGCUGAGGAGCGAAAGCGUGGGGAGCGAACAGGAUUAGAUACCCUGGUAGUCCAA
rnacentral:rRNA from 1 species